AUUGAACGCUGGCGGCAGGCCUAACACAUGCAAGUCGAGCGGAGCGGCGGACGGGUGAGUAAUGCCUAGGAAUCUGCCUGGUAGUGGGGGAUAACGUCCGGAAACGGGCGCUAAUACCGCAUACUAUCAGAUGAGCCUAGGUCGGAGUAGCUAGUUUGUGGGGUAAAGGCCUACCAAGGCGACGAUCCGUCACUGGUCUGAGAGGAUGAUCAGUCACAUGUGAACUGAGACACGGUCCAGCUUCUGACGGUAGGCAGCAGUGGGGAAUAUUGUACAAUGGGCGAAAGCCUGAUCCAGCCAUGCCGCGUGUGUGAAGAAGUUCUUCGGAUUGUAAAGCACUUUAAGUUGGGAGGCGUUACCAACAGAAUAAGCACCGGCGAACGUCGUGCCAGCAGCCGCGGUAAUAC
rnacentral:rRNA from 1 species